AGAUUGAACGCUGGCGGCAUGCCUUACACAUGCAAGUCGAACGGCAGCACGGGAGCAAUCCUGGUGGCGAGUGGCGAACGGGUGAGUAAUAUAUCGGAACGUGCCCAGUCGUGGGGGAUAACGCAGCGAAAGCUGUGCUAAUACCGCAUACGAUCUAUGGAUGAAAGCGGGGGAUCGCAAGACCUCGCGCGAUUGGAGCGGCCGAUAUCAGAUUAGCUAGUUGGUGGGUAAAAGCUACCAAGGCGACGAUCUGUAGCUGGUCUGAGAGGACGACCAGCCACACUGGAACUGAGACACGGUCCAGACUCCUACGGGAGCAGCAGUGGGAAUUUUGGACUAAUGGGCGUCAAGCCUGAUCAGCAAUGCCGCGUGCGUAGGAUCGGAAGUCCGUUCGGGUU
rnacentral:rRNA from 1 species